UACAGAGGGUGCAAGCGUUAAUCGGAAUUACUGGGCGUAAAGCGUGCGUAGACGGUUAUGUAAGUCAGAUGUGAAAGCCCCGGGCUCAACCUGGGAAUUGCAUUUGAGACUGCAUAGCUAGGGUGCGGAAGAGGGAAGCGGAAUUUCCGGUGUAGCGGUGAAAUGCGUAGAUAUCGGAAGGAACACUAGUGGCGAAAGCGGCUUCCUGGUCCAGCACCGACGUUCAGGCACGAAAGCGUGGGGAGCAAACAGG
rnacentral:rRNA from 1 species